GAUGAACGCUGGCGGCGUGCCUAAUACAUGCAAGUCGAGCGAAGAGGGGACGGGUGAGUAACACGUGGAUAACCUCCUAUAUGAGUGGGAGAACUUCGGGAAAACGGAGCGAAACCGGGUACUUAUGGAUGGAUCCAGGCUGCAUUAGCUAGUUGGUAAGGUAACGGCUAACCAAGGCAACGAUGCAUGGCCGACCGGAGAGGUGGAUCGGCACCACUGGAACUGGGACACGGUCCAGACUCCUCCGGGGGGCAGCAGUGGGGAAUCUUCGGCAAUGGGCGAAAGCCUGCCGGGGCAAGGCCGGGGGGGUGAUGAAGGUCUUCGGAUCGUAAAACCCUGUUAUUGGGGAAGCGGUACCUAAUCAGAAAGCCACGGCUAACUACGUGCCAGCAGCCGCGGUAAUAC
rnacentral:rRNA from 1 species